rnacentral:lncRNA from 1 species
AUCCGCACGUAGUGGAAACAAUUACUAUUUUAAUUAAAAAUAACAAUAAUAAUAAGAAUUAAAAAUCCAUAAUAAAAAAUAAAUUACGUUUUUUUUGUCGUGGUUUUGUUGUGUUGUGACGUAGUUUUUUAUUUAGUAUGGUUAUUAAAAUGUUAUUUAUAUCGGCUUUAUUAAUUUUAACUUUGUCGAUCGUUGGAGCGAAUCUCACUAAUGAUACAGAAACAGGUAUUAUAUUUCCACCGGAAUGUAAAAACCAAGACA